UAGGGAAUCUUCCGCAAUGGACGCAAGUCUGACGGAGCAACGCCGCGUGAGUGAAGAAGGAUUUCGGUUCGUAAAACUCUGUUGUUAGAGAAGAACAGCGCAUAGAGUAACUGUUAUGCGUGUGACGGUAUCUAACCAGAAAGCCACGGCUAACUACGUGCCAGCAGCCGCGGUAAUACGUAGGUGGCAAGCGUUGUCCGGAUUUAUUGGGCGUAAAGCGAGCGCAGGCGGUAAAUUAAGUCUGAUGUGAAAGCCCCCGGCUCAACCGGGGAGGGUCAUUGGAAACUGGUUGACUUGAGUGCAGAAGAGGAGAGUGGAAUUCCAUGUGUAGCGGUGAAAUGCGUAGAUAUAUGGAGGAACACCAGUGGCGAAGGCGACUCUCUGGUCUGUAACUGACGCUGAGGUUCGAAAGCGUGGGUAGCAAACAGG
rnacentral:rRNA from 1 species